GGAUUAGAUACCCUGGUAGUCCACGCCGUAAACGAUGUGCACUAGGUCGGGGAAGUUCUGACACUCAUCCCGGCCGAAGCAAAAGUGUUAAGUGCACCGCCUGGGGAGUACGGUCGCAAGGCUAAAACUCAAAGGAAUUGACGGGGGCUCACACAAGCGGUGGAGCAUGUGGCUUAAUUCGAAGCAACGCGAAGAACCUUAUCCUGGGUUUGACAUGUACGGAUUAACUCCCUGAAAGGGGAGCCACGCCUUCGGGUGGAACGUACACAGGUGUUGCAUGGCUGUCGUCAGCUCGUGCCG
rnacentral:rRNA from 1 species